AGACACAACAUUGCAUAUCUUUAUAAACACUAAUUUGAAGGCUGCUAAAAUAAUGUUAUAGAACCUUAUACCUUAUACAAAAUCACACUAGGCAGAAUCUCAUUUUGCCAAACCCGAUAGGACAUCAAGAUUAUUAAGUUGGCUAUCUAAUUUUGCUUUUUUUUUUUUUUUUUUUUUAAAAAGCUCAUUUGCUGAGAUUCUAUAUUGAAGGGGUGAGUGAAAAUGUUUAUUGGAGUCUAAGUUGAAAGCAAAUGGUCUUUCUCUAUUAUAUCUGCAGACUAACAGGUCAAUUACAGUUCAAACAUAGCAGGGGUUGGUAGAAUAAAUACAGCUAUGCUUCUAUUGCUUUCUUGGUAGUAACUAUAUUUGAAUGCAAAUAGAAACUACUUUAAAACCAUUUAGGUUGCAAAAUGGUGUCUGGUGUUAUCUUUGCAAGGAAAUCUGAAAUACAUUGUAAUACGCUGUUAAACAUUUGUAUGGAUGGUGGCCCCUGAAGUAAAUUUAUAAUCUGUAGUUUAAUUCAUCCUGCUUGGAUCCAGGAUGUUUUCUGGAGUACCUCUGGCACUGAUCUCUCCCCAGUUCACACACCAAUGUGAUUUUCCUAAAGCUUCAAUCACAUCUCAUCCUUGCAAAAACCUUCAGAGGUUUGCCACUACCUCCACACCAUCUCAACACUUCUCAAUACUGUGGCCCUGAGCCACAUUUAAGGCUACUUCUACCACUAUUUCAUUUAACAUACUUACUUUGGCACUUUUCAGGCUAUUCCUUAUGCUUGACACUUCCUCCCAAUUUCAGUGGUUGAUAUCCUAUGUAUACUUGGUCUGAGGUCAAAAUGCUCUUCCUCCACAGCCAUUUCUCACUUGAAAAUUCCUUCUAUAUUCAUCCAUACCUCUGGUGACCUUUUCUCACUCUUACCCGGUACUAUAAUUAGUGUAGAUAUUACACCCUCUUUACUGAACUAUAAGCUUCUGGAGGGUAGUAUAUGAAUCUCUCUCACUUUGCAUGCCCACAGUACAGUACUGUGACAUUCAUAAAAUGGUCAAAUCAAUGGAUUGUUUUUCAAACUUAAUGUCCCCGAUUUUAAAUUGUACUUAUGUACCUUAGGUCAAAGAUGAAAGGCUUUAAUGGCCCACAGAUAAUUACUUUUUAAUUAUCACAUCAAAUUUUAGAUGAUGAUUCUAAAUACAAAUCCUGAAAUUUCUCCCCAAAGCGUACAUGUGUUAAGUUUACAUAUUCUUGCUCAUUAUAUACAAACACAUAGUAAUUCCCAUAUGAUAACUUAGUUUUUAAUUUGGAAAUCUAAAACUUUCCUCUGAUUAAAUAAUAGUGCGAUUUUAAAAUAAUAUAUAGAACUUAAACAGUUCACAUAUACUGUUAAAUCCCACUAUUAAUGUGUUAUCUAUAUAGUAUUAUACAAUGAAAAAGGAGAAAGAAUUUCAAAUUUCAAACAAAGUAUGACCCAUAUCCUGUAGUAGCAAAAAUUAUUUUCAUUUUCGCUCCCAGUAAGAGAUACUAAGGAAUGUAUCAAUUAGUCCUACAAAAUCAAUAUUCACUUUAAGUAUAGUAACAGAGGAACACUGUUAUCAAAUUAUUAACAAAUAAUUCUGUAAUGGCAUAACUAUGUUCUAGAAAAUAAACAUCCUCUGUGUAGAGUAUAAUGUAAGAUUUUUUUAGGUCACCACUUGUGUUUCAGACUCUGCUUAGUUCCACUAAUGGCACUUGACUCUAAACUAGGUCCACAUUGUCUCGUUAGACCCAAGUAUGUAAUAGUAGCAAAUAUUUUUGAGCACUUAAUAAUUUAAGCACAAUUCUGAGCACUGUAUAUGUACUACUUCAUUGAAUCCUCAUAAAACUAUUUGGUAAAUUCUAUUGCUAGUUUCACUUCAUAAAUGAAGAAACUAAGGAACAGAGAAGAUUGCUAAAUUGCCCACCUCACUCAGGCAAGAAAUAAAAAAGUGAGGAUUCAAACCUAGGCGCCAGUGGCUGACAUUAACCACCAUCUCUAUUUGCCUCAGUAAAGUAUCAGAAUAAUCCAAAAAACAGACUGUAAAGAGACUAUCUUGAACCACUGUGCUUUUUACCAUAUGAUACAUCAAAUGCAAGAAUUCUUCAAGAAUUUACCAAAUGCCACAGUCCAACAGUCUCUCUUGUUUUCUCCUUGUACAGGUUCCAUAUUGGCAACAGGAUCAUCUUUUUGCCUUGGGUCCCACACCUUCACAGUUCCUGUUGUGAAUACAACUUCUUUUGAGCCCUUAAUGAGCACUGCCAUCAUUCAACUUGGAACUCAAAGUCCUGAGCACACUCAGUGAUUCUCAGAGAUGAUCUAUCUAGGACCUCUGCACAUGACUUACCAGUUACAUAUUUUUCAGUGUACCAUCAUGCUGGGCACAGCAAAUCUACAGUCGAACUGGCUGAAGCUUGUCUAAAUCCAGGUUAGUUAAGAGAAAGGAAUGCAGGAAAGCACCCACUACUGUGGGUGUCUGAGUCUACCCAAGAUGGCAGGGUGAUGAAUGGCUCAAGUAAGUUAUGUUAAUACACCCCUUCUCCUGCCUCCCUCUUUUCUCCUGGAGCUUCUAUCCACAUUUCUCUUUAACAAGUCAGUUUUUGAUAACUUAUACUUAAAAAAAAAUGAAGGUAGCUAUUCACGAAAUGUAAUCCCAACUUAUUACUAGGCCAAGAUUUAUUAGUAAAAUCUCCCUAAUUAAAAUUUCAGAUAGCUCAACCUAGGAGACUAUGUUUAUUUUUGUAGCAUCAUUGUGAAAGAAUCAGGACUAAACAGGACUGAGAUUCCACUUCAAAGAAUUGCUUUACUGUUUGACUUUAAAAUACUGCUUUUUACAACACAAAAUUAUAAGACUUAACAAUGAAAAUAAGUCAGUAAUACCUGUGACUAUGCUAGGAAACUCUAUUAGGGAGACAGUCAAUAAUUAUAUUUGUUGCUUAGUCUUAUGCUGAAAUAUUUUUAAAAAGAACAUUCAGACUGGUUUCUCCCAAGUUCUCUGAAAGUAUAUGUAAGAACUGAUGCAUUCUAAUAAAUGCUAACUUAAUUAUUAAGCAGUUAAAGCAAGGGGAAUUAAAAUAGCUUCAUUCUAUUUUAUGAUUCAUGUCAGUAAUUUAAUAAGAAAGCAACAGAUUCUAAGUGAAAAUCAAGAAAGGUCACCUUAGAAAACAUGAAGUAGAGAAGAUAGUUUCUUUCUAGAACAUUACUAUAUACUUUAAACAGUAAAAAUAAGACAUAUUCUUGAAAAGUAAUUGAGGAAUUUCAGUUCAUGCCAUCUAAUUUAAGUAGGAAAUAACUCAAGGUAGAACAUGAAAAUUAUAAGCAUUUGGCAUAAUUAUGGUCUUGUUCAUUUGCAACAGGUUUACAUUGAUUUGCUCAAUAGAUGUGUUCCCAAAAAGUUGUGCUUAGAUGUGCAGAAUUUUUUUAAUGAAUUGGGAAUUCUACAUUAAAAAAUUCAAACAAAGAAAAACUCAGUGUAUCGUUCUAUAAUGCCAAAUGUCUCACUGAAAUAUAAACAGUAUCUUAAGUUUUCCAUGUUUUACAUGUGUGGGGAAUAGCCCUUUAUGUACAAAUACAGGGGAUUAAAUGCUAGCACCAAACAGCAUGUGUGGAAAUAAAUAUUGGUAACAUUAUUCAAACUAGCUAAAGAAAAACAGUAUUUUUAAAUGGAUUUUGAAUAUGAAAUCUAGAAAUAUAUAUUAAAGGACAAUUCUUACAUUUUUAUAAAUAGUUAAAAUUGAACAAGGAACAUUUUAAAAUAAGAAUCCUCCCUUUCAGAGGAAGAGUAACAAGACUAUCAAGGAAACUGCCUAUCUUGCGUCUUAAUAUUGACUAAA